CCAGCAAUAGCUCAGUGGUAGAGCUUUCGCCUUUUAUGCGAAGAGACCCGGGUUCGACUGCCGGCUGCUUUG
rnacentral:tRNA from 1 species